UACGUAGGGGGCAAGCGUUGUCCGGAAUCAUUGGGCGUAAAGAGCGUGUAGGCGGCUCGAUAAGUCCGCUGUGAAAGUCCAGGGCUCAACCCUGGAAGGCCGGUGGAAACUGUCGGGCUAGAGUCCGGAAGAGGCGAGUGGAAUUCCCGGUGUAGCGGUGAAAUGCGCAGAUAUCGGGAGGAACACCAAUGGCGAAGGCAGGUCUCUGGGCCGCAACUGACGCUGAGGAGCGAAAGCAUGGGGAGCGAACAGG
rnacentral:rRNA from 1 species